CCCACAGAUCAGUGCAUGACAGAAGCUUAGAGGGUCGACUCUUAUAUGUGGCCCCUGGUGUACCCCAAUGGGUUUAGGAAGCUCUUCUAAUGCUUAUGGAAGUGAAUCAAUAAAUGUUUGCAUUAAUCACA